rnacentral:lncRNA from 1 species
AUGCCACUCUAAAUAUAGCUGCCCUCCUGGAAUGCAUCUUUCAAGGUGCUUAUUCACUGCACAAGAGUGAUCCCAGAGUGAGGGGCACAUGGAACAUUCACCAAGAUAAACCAUAUGCUGGAACAUAAAAUUUAUGGAUGUCGCCCAUGAAGCAGAGUCCUUCAGACCCUCAAUCAAAAACAAGUCUCAUUUUACAUUAAAUUGGAGGACUAUCUGGAGUCUCUGACCACCGUGUGACAGAAAAGAGAGCAGAAUUGUUGCAUGAUGGGUAACACUCAUCAGUAAUCGCUGUUUGCCAAGCCAUCUGGGAGGAGACCAAAGAGCUAUAAAAUAAGUUCAGGCACGGUGGUUCAUGCCUGUAAUCCCAGCACUUUGGGAGGCCAAGGUGGGUGAAUCACCUGAGGUCAGGAGUUCGAGACCAGCCUGGCCAACAUGGUGAAACCCUGUCUCUACUAAAAAUACAAAAAAAAUAGCUGGGUGUGGUGGUGGGUACCUGUAAUCCCAGCUUCUCAGGAGGCUGAGGCAGGAGAACUGCUUGAACCUGGGAGGCAGAAAUUGCAGUGUGCCGAGAUUGUGCCACUACUCUCCAACCUAGGCAACAGAGUGAAUCUACAUCUCAAAAAAAUAAAUAAAUAAAAAUAAAAAAUAUAUAUAUAGGUACCAGAGCUGAGAACGUAGCAGCCUGGGACCAUGUAUUCAGGAGCAAAUAACAAGCCCAGAAAAUGCCUGGGAGAAGUCUUGUACCAGUCUACUUCAUGGUUUAGUAGGAACAUCAUGGACUCAGCUGACAAUGAUUUGGGCAUGGCCCUGCCACUAACCCACGAGAGGCUGUGGACCAGUCCCUUUCAUUUCCCCUUUCUGGGGACCCGCUUCCCCUUGUGCAAAAUGGAGUCACUAGAAUCUAGUGUCUUGAUCUCCAAGAUGAUUUCCACUUUUACUUUUCUGUGUCUAUUUUUGUGUUCCUUCUAAUUACCCUGGGUCUUCAAGGAAAGGAUGAAUAAUUCUUGGUAGUCUUUGUGUUAGAAGGCAGGGGGUGGUCUGAGACCUGCACAGGGCAUAUUUGCUUAUAUGGAUUGGCUUAUAUCGCCCCCCAAAUCCUGGAUAUGCUCAGACAUAUCCCAAAAGGUUCUACAAGGACAUAUUUACAAACAGCUUCCAAACAGCAGUAAAAUGGCAAAACAAGCCUUGCAAGAGAAAUUCUGUAUACCAGACAAUUUAAUUCUGAACAAUGGACCACAUGAGGGUGUAUAAAUAACUAAUUAUGCUGGACAACAUGAACAGCUUUUUUGGAUGAUUGCAAAAUUGGGGAGGAAGGAAAUGUGAUGGGUAUUUAUAUAUUUGGGCUUCAGUCAAAGAUUUCAUAUUCAUUCUUAAGCAAUUUGACUUACAAAAUUAGCUCAGACUAGAACAUGGUCAAACGACUUGAAACUGGAAGAAAGUCUGCUAUCCCAGGGGGAUGGUUUGUGCCCAAGGAUCCAAGGGAAUGGAAUGGAGUACUGUGUGUGUGCUCCUGCAGCCUCUGCAGGCUGCUCAGUGAGAGGUUUCUUGGUCUUCAGAAGGACCUGCAGAAAAGGAGUAGGGACUGUUUUGGAGCAUUUGUAAUAAGUGUUCCAAUAUGAAUCCACUUCAUCUUGUUAUCACAUAAGCAUACGCUCCUGAACACGCAGGUCCACAUUUUUCCUAGGUUCCUCCUAUUCCAUCAGUACUAUGCCAAGCCUUGAAGUGACGGAGACUGGAUUUCUGGGAGGUGCAUGGGGACACUUGGCUCACCUCUACAUCCAGUGCCUGCUACUACUUCUAGUGCCUACAUACCAGGUACACAGAAAUACUUGUUGAACCAACUAGUUGUUUAACGAAAUAAGUAGCAGACUGUCCUUGUGAAAACAGAAUCCUUUGUGAACACAGAGGGGACAGAACAGUUCAUUCUGACCUUAGGGAUUGCAAGGCCCUUUCCUUCUUGCCGCAGGGCCUUCAAACAUCUAUUUCCCCCUUCCUGCCCUCUGCCUAAAUCCUAUUCAUCUUUAUAUUGCUUCCAGAGAACCUUCCCUAACUCCAAACCCCUCCUCCUUGUCCUUGCAUCAUUCUAUUUCAUGACAUCAUGUCCUUGCUCUUCAAAAUACAUAGCACAACUUACUAUUAAUAUCUAUUUAUGUGUUUAUUUGUUGGGAAUCUACUCCUACAAUAGACUAUGAGCAAUAAUGUCUUUCUUAUCCAUGGCUAUCUCGCCAGUACCUACUAUGGUGCCUGAUGC